AGAGUUUGAUCCUGGCUCAGGAUGAACGCUAGCUACAGGCUUAACACAUGCAAGUCGAGGGGAAACGACAUCGAAAGCUUGCUUUUGAUGGGCGUCGACCGGCGCACGGGUGAGUAACGCGUAUCCAACCUGCCCACCACUUGGGGAUAACCUUGCGAAAGUAAGACUAAUACCCAAUGAUAUCUCUAGAAGACAUCUGAAAGAGAUUAAAGAUUUAUCGGUGAUGGAUGGGGAUGCGUCUGAUUAGCUUGUUGGCGGGGUAACGGCCCACCAAGGCGACGAUCAAUAGGGGUUCUGAGAGGAAGGUCCCCCACAUUGGAACUGAGACACGGUCCAAACUCCUACGGGAGGCAGCAGUGAGGAAUAUUGGUCAAUGGACGAGAGUCUGAACCAGCCAAGUAGCGUGCAGGAUGACGGCCCUAUGGGUUGUAAACUGCUUUUAUAAAGGAAUAAAGUGAGUCUCGUGAGACUUUUUGCAUGUACCUUAUGAAUAAGGACCGGCUAAUUCCGUGCCAGCAGCCGCCGUAAUACGGAAGGUCCGGGCGUUAUCCCGAUUUAUUGGGUUUAAAGGGAGCGUACGCCCGAGAUUAAGCGUGUUGUGAAAUGUA
rnacentral:rRNA from 1 species